rnacentral:tRNA from 1 species
AGGUAUGGUGGCCGAGUAGGUGGCGAGUUGUACCUCGUGUACGGGAAUUGUGCCCCCCAACCAA